GACGAACGCUGGCGGCGUGCUUAACACAUGCAAGUCGAACGGAAAGGCCCUGCUUUUGUGGGGUGCUCGAGUGGCGAACGGGUGAGUAACACGUGAGUAACCUGCCCUUGACUUUGGGAUAACUUCAGGAAACUGGGGCUAAUACCGGAUAGGAGCUCCUGCUGCAUGGUGGGGGUUGGAAAGUUUCGGCGGUUGGGGAUGGACUCGCGGCUUUCAGCUUGGUGGUGGGGUAGUGGCUUACCAAGGCUUUGACGGGUAGCCGGCCUGAGAGGGUGACCGGCCACAUUGGGACUGAGAUACGGCCCAGACUCCUACGGGAGGCAGCAGUGGGGAAUAUUGCACAAUGGGCGGAAGCCUGAUGCAGCAACGCCGCGUGCGGGAUGACGGCCUUCGGGUUGUAAACCGCUUUCGCCUGUGACGAAGCGUGAGUGACGGUAAUGGGUAAAGAAGCACCGGCUAACUACGUG
rnacentral:rRNA from 1 species